AGCGAACGCUGGCGGCAGGCCUAACACAUGCAAGUCGAGCGCCCAGCAAUGGGAGCGGCAGACGGGUGAGUAACGCGUGGGGAUCUGCCCAAUGGUACGGAAUAACCCAGGGAAACUUGGACUAAUACCGUAUGUGCCCUUCGGGGGAAAGAUUUAUCGCCAUUGGAUGAACCCGCGUCGGAUUAGCUAGUUGGUGAGGUAAAGGCUCACCAAGGCGACGAUCCGUAGCUGGUCUGAGAGGAUGAUCAGCCACACUGGGACUGAGACACGGCCCAGACUCCUACGGGAGGCAGCAGUGGGGAAUAUUGGACAAUGGGCGCAAGCCUGAUCCAGCCAUGCCGCGUGAGUGAUGAAGGCCUUAGGGUUGUAAAGCUCUUUCGCCGGUGAAGAUAAUGACGGUAACCGGAGAAGAAGCCUCGGCUAACUUCGUGCCAGCAGCCGCCGUAA
rnacentral:rRNA from 1 species